rnacentral:lncRNA from 1 species
CAUGUAUCAGCAUACACCCUCUUAAUUUCCUCCUCAUUGUCCACAUGUGAGUGAUUCAUCGGCAAUGAGUAUAUAAAGACCAGUGUGCUUCACAGUUGAAUCAAACUCUUCAUCAGUCAUGGACAAAAGUGUGCUGCUGGUGCUGUUGUGUCUGCAGGUUUUCCUGCUCAUCACAGCCUUCACUUCUUCUGAUGCAGCCGCUCUACAGAAAGAUGAUCAACAACAACCGUUUCCUGACCUGGUGGAGGUGGGAGGAACUGAGGCCAAAGGAAGAAAACCAUGGCCACCCGGCUGCUGGUUAAGACCAGGUUGUUCUUCACCCUUCGGAAAGUUCCCAGUUACACCAAACCCUCCACUGACGGCUUUGGACAUAAAGACUGACUUUUCUCCUUUUUCUUCUACAUCCGUGAUAAGAAGAAAACCAAAGAAGCCGCACUGCAGAAAUUAAGACAGACAUGAAAACCUGCAUCUUCUCUUCAAGGAAGCUGUUCUAUUUUGCUUUGCUAAUUGCAUUUUUUGGUGACAAAAGUCAAUCAUUGCAUGAGCUCAGCAUUGUGAAAGCCACAAUGCUUUGUUUUGUUUACUCAUUAUGAAUAUAAAUUUACUAUAUUACUGUUUAAUUUCAGUUUAUUAUUUUGCUGUUAAAUGUUGUUAAAUGAAAAAAAUAAAAUUUCUCAAUUUUAUGCUUAGACUCAUUGUGUUUUUA